UACAAAUUCACAGCCGCUGUCAUCAUCGACCCUAUCAAUCUAGAUCACAAUCGUUUCUUACAUAUCUGAAAAUCAUGAAAAUCAUGCACAUAGAUCAAAAAGCUGUUAAAGAUCCGCUAUACAUUGAUCUGUAUAGCCAGUCACUCACACUAUACAUUGAUCUGUAUGCUGUUGUCAGCCUAGUAGAAUCAGAUUACUAUCAGUUAGGUGUUCAUAACAUUUCAAGAGUUGGUUUUGUGGGUUUGUGAGAGGCCCAUGUAUAUGAUGCUUGGGAAGAUUCCUGUAGCGGAGCGUAAAGAAGAAAGAAUGGCACCCCUACUUAAUUUGCUCAGGCGAUAUCAUCUACCGGCCACAUGUGUGCAUCAGGGUUGCCAAUUAUGUCAGUCAAUAAAUCCGGACCAUAUCUAUUCCAUUAACCGGAUAGGCCUCUUCAGAUUAAUGUAUUAGAUAAACGGUGGAUACAAUCAACAUGAAAUUUAUAUCGGGAUACUGUUGGAUCAGGCCACUCAAUACACGAAGUAACACAGAUACAAAAGUGAAGAGAGCAUUGAGACAGAGGAAUUAUCUUUCUUAUUCUUAUUCACUUCCCUGUAACAACGAGUACAACUACAUCUAUUUAAACAACAAGAAAUAACAAACUAAGCUGAAAACUAGCUACACAAUGUGCUGCUAUCUAAGUGGCAACUAAGCCACGUUAUAUCCUCCAAACCUAGUCAACUAAUAACCCAUGACACCCGUUUGCCCAUUGCCCGUUAAUCGGUUAAACAAACCGAUUAACCAAACAGAUACAUCAACUAGUUCGAUCGAUUAAAAAAGCCUAAGUACAAAACAUCUACUGGACGAGCUUUAUACAAGUCUUUGUUGAUAAAAGUAGCGGAUAUGGUGUUGUUUGGCUACAGGGUGGAUUAAUCUUUGUUUAGAAACCGUUUUAUUUUCUAUUAGUGUAUUUGUAUGAGUAUAAAUGUAUAUGAAAUGGGUGUCCGUAUGUGUACGUGUGUCCAUUGUAUAUGAAUUUGAAUACCACAAGAUCCUAUAUGAAUA